rfam:Myotis brandtii contig163211, whole genome shotgun sequence.
GCCGGUGUGGCUCAGUGGAUAGAGCAUUGGCCUGUGGACUCAAGGGUCCCGGGUUUGAUUCCGGUCAAGGGCA